ensembl:lncRNA
CAGUGCACUUGUGCUCCUGAGUGCAUGUGUGCUCCUGAGUGUGUGUGUGCUCCUGUGCCUGGGUGUCUCUCUGUUGCUAUGUGGAGCACGUGACGUAGGACGAGAGCCUUCAUAAUUGGUGGCAGCCAAACCAUGAUUUUUAAAAAAACUUCUAGGUUCAGGGGUACAUGUGAAGGUUUGUUACUUAGGUGAACUCAUGUCACAGGGAUUUCUUGUACAAAUUAUUUUACUAUUCAGGUGUUAAAAGCCCAAUACUCAAUUGUUAGCUUUUCUCUUCCUCUCCCCCUCCCUCCCUGCACCUUCCAGUAGACCCCAGGGUCUGUUGUUCCCUUCUUUGUGUUCACGAGUUCUCAUUUAGCUUACACUUACAACCGAAAAUGUGGUAUUUGGAUUUCUGUUCAUGGUUAGUUUGGUAAGGAAAAUGGUUGGUUUCCAGCUUCAUCCAUGUUCCUGCAAAGGAUAUGAUCUCAUUCAUUUUUCAGGACUGCACAGUAUCCCGUGGUAUAUAGGAACCACAUUUAAUCUGUCGUUGAUGGGCAUUUAGGUUGAUUCCAUGUCUUUGCUAUUGUGAACAGUGCUGCAAUGAACAUUCACGUGCAUGUGCUUUUGCGGAAGAAUCAUUUAUCAAACUGCUCUUCUCCACAGGCACUCUUGUCUCACAAGGAAUUUCUGUAAGUCGUUGGAGUGGAUAGGAUUUAGACAAGCCUGUCUUGCCACGGCCCAGAACCAUGGGGAAGGGGAAAUUUGGACACAGAGCCAUGGAGGGAAGAUGCCUUGAAGACGCAGAAAGAAGAUGACCACCUUGAAGCAAGGGAUUCCCAAGGCUGCCAGAACCCAGAAAAGAGGCCAGGAACAGACUCUUCUUCAUUGCCGUCAGAGGGAACCAACCACAGACUCUUCUUCAUUGCCACAGAGGGAACCAACCCUGCUGGCACCUUGGUCUUGGACUUCCAGCCUCAGAACUGUGUGACAAUGAAUGUCCAUUAUCUGAGAUGCUCAGUCUGUGUCCUUUGUCACAGCAACCCCAGGGAACUCAUACAGGAGGCAGGUGGCUUCCCCAACCACAGCUCUGUGGUCUGCUGGGUGAGACCUGCUGUAUUGCUCUCAGGAGCUCUUAAAAAUAGCCUGAAUGAAAGACAGGACUCCAGGGUGAGUGGAUGAAUUUAAUCUGUGCCAUGUAAAUCCCUUUAUAGGUGAUCAGAAGGGGACACAAAGAUCUAGAUAUUUGUUUUUCUCUUUCUACAGUGUAUAUAUACAAAGUUCACAAAUAUUAUACCCUCUCCAAGAAAGCACUUAGUAGAUGACCACUCCAGAAAAAGCAUGGUUUGUCCUCUGCACUGUCCACAUUCCUCUUUCUGUCUGUAAAUGAUGAUCACUGAAUUCCGCCCCCCGAGAGAUUAGAAAGCAUCUCCUAUGCUCUCAAAAAGGAUUCAUAAGUGCAUUCACUUCAGAGUAUAAAUUAUUGGUUCUCAAAUUCUAAUGUUCACAGGAAUUUCCUGGAAUAUUUGCUAAAAUGAAGACUCCCAGAGUCCCCCACAGAUCUACAGAAUCAGAAUCUUUCGUGGUGGGACUAGAAAUCUCCAGUCAAUCAUCCACCCUCCUCCUCCCCACCCCAGGAUACUGAUGCAGACAGCCUGGUCACCCCUCCUGGAGAAACACUAUUGUAGAUGACCGAUUAAAGUGUAUGGCUUUACCUCUCUUACAUAUGCGUUUUGGGGAAGCAAUACAAUUUUUGCAGGUUAAAACUAAAGG